rnacentral:rRNA from 1 species
CUGCUGCCUCCCGUAGGAGUUUGGGCCGUGUCUCAGUCCCAAUGUGGCCGUCCACCCUCUCAGGCCGGCUACUGAUCGUCGCCUUGGUGGGCCGUUACCCCGCCAACAAGCUAAUCAGACGCGGGUCCAUCUUACACCACCGGAGUUUUUCACACAAAUCCAUGCGGCUUCGUGCGCUUAUGCGGUAUUAGCACCUAUUUCUAAGUGUUAUCCCCCAGUGUAAGGCAGGUUACCCACGCGUUACUCACCCGUCGCCACUAAGAUUUUA